rnacentral:rRNA from 1 species
GUGCACCAGGCGCGAAAACUUCACACUGUGCGAAAGCACGAUGAGGGAAUCCCAAGUGCUUGCACGUAAGUGUAAGCUGUUUCUCUGUUUAAAACGCAGAGAGAGUAAGGGCUGGGUAAGACGGGUGCCAGCCGCCGCGGUAAUACCUGCAGCUCAAGUGGUGACCGUUAUUAUUGGGCCUAAAACGUCCGUAGCCGGUUUAAUAAAUGCCUGGGUAAAUCGUGUAGCUUAACUAUACGAAUUCCGGGUAGACUGUUAAACUCGAGACCGGGAGAAGUUAGAGGUACUCCUGGGGUAGAGGUGAAAUUCUGUAAUCCUAGGGGGACCACCAGGGGCGAAGGCGUCUAACUAGAACGGGUCUGACGGUGAGGGACGAAGCCCUGGGGCGCAAACGGGAUUAGAUACCCGGGUAGU